AACGAACGCUGGCGGCGCGCCUAAUACAUGCAAGUCGAACGAGAAGGUGUAGCAAUACACUUGUACAGUGGCGAACGGGUGAGGAAUGCAUGGGCAACCUACCCUCGAGUGGGGAAUAACCAGCCGAAAGGUUGGCUAAUACCGCGUACGCUUCCGGGUCUCCGGAUCCGGAAGGAAAGUCACACCGUGGGUGUGACGCUCAAGGAUGGGCUCAUGUCCUAUCAGCUGUUGGUGAGGUAACGGCUCACCAAGGCAACGACGGGUAGCUGGCCUGAGAGGACGAUCAGCCACACUGGCACUGCGACACGGGCCAGACUCCUACGGGAGGCAGCAGUAAGGAAUAUUGCGCAAUGGGCGAAAGCCUGACGCAGCGACGCCGCGUGGGGGAUGAAGGUCUUCGGAUUGUAAACCUCUUUCGGGAGGGAAGAGUGGAACGAGCAAUCGUUCGGACGGUACCUCCAGAAGCAGCCACGGCUAACUUCGUGCCAGCAGCC
rnacentral:rRNA from 1 species